AUUGAACGCUGGCGGCAUGCCUUACACAUGCAAGUCGAACGGCAGCACGGGAGCUUGCUCCUGGUGGCGAGUGGCGAACGGGUGAGUAACACAUCGGAACGUACCCUGAAGUGGGGGAUAACGUAGCGAAAGUUACGCUAAUACCGCAUAUUCUGUGAGCAGGAAAGAGGGGGAUCGCAAGACCUCUUGCUUUAGGAGCGGCCGAUGUCGGAUUAGCUAGUUGGUGAGGUAAAGGCUCACCAAGGCGACGAUCCGUAGCGGGUCUGAGAGGAUGAUCCGCCACACUGGGACUGAGACACGGCCCAGACUCCUACGGGAGGCAGCAGUGGGGAAUUUUGGACAAUGGGCGCAAGCCUGAUCCAGCCAUGCCGCGUGAGUGAAGAAGGCCUUCGGGUUGUAAAGCUCUUCGGUGGGGAAGGAAAGUUAGCUUCGGGAUAAUACCUGGAGUAGAUGACGGUACCCG
rnacentral:rRNA from 1 species